UACAGGGGGGGCGAGCGUUACCCGGCUUUAAAGGCGUAAAGGGUACGUAGGUUGCUAUUUCAACUGCGUGUGAAAUCCCGGAAAGAUGUUUAAGAAGGUUUUUCGGAAGGGCCGUGGUAAUGCAUAGCUUUGAGUCAAUCGGAGGUUGGGGGAAUUUCCAGAGUAGGGGUAAAAUCCGGAGAUACUGGAAGGAACAUCUGAGGCGAAGGCGUCUUUCCCUGGUUGACUGACACUGAGGUACGUAGGUUUAGGGAGCAAACGGGG
rnacentral:rRNA from 1 species